rnacentral:tmRNA from 1 species
GGGGACGAAACGGCUUCGACGAAUUGCGACGAAGGUUGGGGCUGCAUGCCGGGAUCCUCACUACCCCGAAAUUAGUGGGAAAAAUCGGUUUAAAUGCCGACUAUGAUUAUGCAAUGGCUGCUUAAUUUUAAUUAAGCGUUAAAGCCCGUUCACCACGACUCGCACCCAUCCGGGAAGUGGAUGAACGCCGACUCUGAUGGGUCUUUCAUUAAUGCCGCCCG